UCGGUCAUAAAACAUGCAAGUCGAACGGAUGUAGAAGAGAUUGCUCUUCCAUUCGACGACGGACGGAUGAGUAAUGCCUAUGAAUCUGCCUGGUUGUGGGGGACAACGUUUCGAAGGGAACGCUAAUACCGCACACGUCCUACGGGAGAAACCAGGGGACCUUCGGGCCUUGCUCUAUCCAAUGAACCUACGUCGGAUUAAUUAGUUGGUGAGGUAAGGGCUCACCCAGGCGACCAUCCAUACCUGGUCUGACAGGAAGAUCAAUCACACUGGAACUGAGACACAGUCCAUACUCCUACCGGAGGCAGCAAUGGGGAAUAUUGGACAAUGGGCGAAAGCCUGAUCCAUCCAUGCCGCGUGUGUGAAGAAGGACUCCGAUUGUAAAGCACUUUAUUUUGGGAGGAAGGACAGUAAGAUAAUACCUUGCUGUUUUGACGUUACCGACAGAAUAAGCACCGGCUAACUCUGUGCCAGCAGCCGCGGUAAUACAGAGGGUGCAAGCGUUAAUCGGAAUUACUGGGCGUAAAGCGCGCGUAGGUGGUUUGUUAAGUUGGAUGUGAAAGCCCCGGGCUCAACCUGGGAACUGCAUCCAAAACUGGCAAGCUAGAGUACGGUAGAGGGUGGGGGGAAUUUCCUGUGUAGCGGUGAAAUGCGUAGAUAUAGGAAGGAACACCAGUGGCGAAGGCGACCACCUGGACUGAUACUGACACUGAGGUGCGAAAGCGUGGGGAGCAAACAGGAUUAUAUACCCUGGUAGUCCACGCCGUAAACGAUGUCAACUACCCGUUGGAAUCCUUGAGAUUUUAGUGGCCGCAGCUAACGCAUUAAGUUGACCGCCUGGGGAGUACGGCCGCAGCGUUAAAACUCAAAUGAUGUGACGGCGGGCCGCACAAGCAGUGGAGCAUGUUGGUUGUAUUCGUAGCAACGCGAAGACAUCACCUAGGUCUUCACGUGCAGAGACUAUCUAGAGAUAGAUUGUGCUUUCGUGAGCUCUGACACAAGUGCUGCAUGACUGUCGUCAGCUCGUGUCGUGAGAUGAUGGGUAGUACCGUACGAGCGCAUCAUUGUCUAGUACUAGCAGGUAUGGUGGGAAUCUAGAGACUGCGGACAUCCGGAGGAAGGUGGGAUACGUCAGUCUCAUGUCCUACGCUGGCUACACGGUCUCAAUGCUCAAGUCAUCAGGUACUAUCAAACGACUAUCGA
rnacentral:rRNA from 1 species